AGAUUCCUUGUGAUCUUUUAUUAAUCUUGGAGGACACAAUCUAAUUGGUCAUUUGCCCUAUAAUUAAAUAAAGUACCUACAAGGAACCACGAUUAAGGAGCAGCUGAUUAGAAGCUCACGAGAGUUUUUAGUAUCAUUAUAGAUAUAUAUCACGUUUUAACACUCUUCACAGUGAGAUCAUCUUGUAGGAAAUUUGCUAAAGCAUUAUUCCA